rnacentral:rRNA from 1 species
GGGAGGGGUGCAAGCGUUAAUCGGAAUUACUGGGCGUAAAGCGCACGCAGGCGGUCUGUCAAGUCGGGAUGUGAAAUCCCCGGGCUCAACCUGGGAACUGCAUUCGAAACUGGCAGGCUAGAGUCUUGUAGAGGGGGGUAGAAUUCCAGGUGUAGCGGUGAAAUGCGUAGAGAUCUGGAGGAAUACCGGUGGCGAAGGCGGCCCCCUGGACAAAGACUGACGCUCAGGUGCGAAAGCGUGGGGAGCAAACAGGAUUAGAUACCCUGGUAGUCCACGCUGUAAACGAUGUCGACUUGGAGGUUGUUCCCUUGAGGAGUGGCUUCCGGAGCUAACGCGUUAAGUCGACCGCCUGGGGAGUACGGCCGCAAAGGUUA